UACAGAGGGUGCGAGCGUUAAUCGGAAUUACUGGGCGUAAAGCGUGCGUAGACGGCUAUCUAAGUCGGGUGUGAAAGCCCCGGGCUCAACCUGGGAAUUGCAUUCGAGACUGAAUAGCUAGGGUACGGUAGAGGGAAGUGGAAUUUCCGGUGUAGCGGUGAAAUGCGUAGAUAUCGGGAGGAAUACCGAUGGCGAAGGCAGGUCUCUGGGCUAUAACUGACGCUCAUGCACGAAAGCGUGGGGAGCAAACAGG
rnacentral:rRNA from 1 species